rnacentral:rRNA from 1 species
CGAACGCUGGCGGCGUGCUUAACACAUGCAAGUCGAACGGAAAGGCCCUGCUUGCAGGGUACUCGAGUGGCGAACGGGUGAGUAACACGUGGGUGAUCUGCCCUGCACUUCGGGAUAAGCUUGGGAAACUGGGUCUAAUACCGGAUAGGAGCCAUCUUUAGUGUGGUGGUUGGAAAGUUUUUUCGGUGUAGGAUGAGCUCGCGGCCUAUCAGCUUGUUGGUGGGGUAAUGGCCUACCAAGGCGGCGACGGGUAGCCGGCCUGAGAGGGUGUACGGCCACAUUGGGACUGAGAUACGGCCCAGACUCCUACGGGAGGCAGCAGUGGGGAAUAUUGCACAAUGGGCGCAAGCCUGAUGCAGCGACGCCGCGUGGGGGAUGAAGGCCUUCGGGUUGUAAACUCCUUUCGCUAGGGACGAAGCUUUUUUGUGACGGUACCUAGAGAAGAAGCACCGGCUAACUACGUG